CAGAAAAAAAUAAUGAAUAAAUACUAUUCAAUGCAAUGUGAAUAUAGUUAGAAGCCUCCCCCUUGGGCCGCUAGCUGUAGGUUGUUUUGGGUUCAUUGCCCUUCUCUUUUCCUUUGCAUUUGCCCUUCCCCUCGGCAGAGACACUUAGUUCGUAGUCCACCUGGCAGGUCAACUGGGUUCAUGGUAGAAAACAAAAUAUAAAAUGACUGUACAUUAUGCAUUUAUAUUCUUAACAACACUAGCUGGGGAAAUUUUAUUGAAGAGCUGUAAUAUGGAACUUAGUUGUUGUCCUUGGAACGAUAUUAUAGUUCUAAAACAUAUUGUCCUUGAUCCCUAUAACGGAUUUUCAUCCAUGUGUGGUCAUGAAAUUGCCUGAAUCUUGGCUAGGUUUUCAAGCAAUAGAAAUAUUUAUCUGGUG
rnacentral:lncRNA from 1 species